CCCCUCUUCUGCUUCGAGGAGACCCACGCUCCUCUCCCUGGCCGCACGGAGACCCACGCUCCUCUCCCUGGCCGCACAGAGACCCACGCUCCUCUUCCUGGCCUUACAGGGGACUUCGCUCUGCCUUCCAGUUCAGCUGGGGACGUCGCUCCGCUUUCAGGCGCCGAUGAGGACGUCGCCCUGCUUCCCUGCUCCGCCGAGUACAACGCUCUGCCUUCCUGCUCCGCCGAGGACGUCGCUCUGCCUUCAUGUUCUGACGAGGACGUCGCCCUGCUUCCCUGCUCCACCAAGUACAGUGCUAUGUUUCCCUGCUCCGCCGAGUACAGUGCUCUGUUUCCCUGCUCCGCCGAGGACAUCGCUCUACCCUCAUGCCCAGCCGAGGUCGUCGCUCUGCCCUCAUGCCCAGCCGAGCUCAUCGCUCAGCCCCCCUGUCCAGCUGAGGUCAUCGCUCUGCUUCCCUACGCUGCUAAGAACACCGUGCAGUUUCAUGACUCUGCUCGGGACAUUCAGCCCAGGGGGCCGGGGUCGCCAAUGAAGUGGGAUGACUCAUGGCACUCCGGGAGGAGUGCCCUUGGAGGGGGGUUCUGUCACGAUUCCCCCUUGAAGCAGUCUGCUUUAAGCGCAAAUGCGCGAGCACCUGCUUUUCCGCUGUCGACCUUAGUGACAUUGGGACACGUGGAUUUUGUUUAUGUUUGUCAUGUCUCCUCCCUGUUCCGUCAUUGGCUGGGAAGUCACGUGUGUCCGGAUUACCCUCAGCUGUUAGCAGUUGUGAGGGUAAUCAUGUCCACAUAUAUACCGCGCGCUUCCCAGCACACAACGCGGAAGAUUAAGUAGUAAGUAAUAAGAAGUGAAUGUUUAGCGUUAGUGUAGUUCGUGUCAGUCAUAG
ensembl:lncRNA